rnacentral:rRNA from 1 species
AUUGAACGCUGGCGGCAGGCCUAACACAUGCAAGUCGAGCGAGAAAGGUCUUCGGGCUGAGUACAGCGGCGGACGGGUGAGUAACGCGUAGGAAUCUACCUGGUAGUGGGGGACAACAUGGUGAAAACCAUGCUAAUACCGCAUACGCCCUAUGGGGGAAAGCGGGGGACCUUCGGGCCUCGCGCUAUCAGAUGAGCCUGCGUAGGAUUAGCUUGUUGGUGAGGUAAAGGCUCACCAAGGCGACGAUCCUUAGCUGGUCUGAGAGGAUGAUCAGCCACACUGGAACUGAGACACGGUCCAGACUCCUACGGGAGGCAGCAGUGGGGAAUAUUGCGCAAUGGGCGAAAGCCUGACGCAGCCAUGCCGCGUGUGUGAAGAAGGCCCUUGGGUUGUAAAGCACUUUCAAUUGGAAGAAAGGUUAGCGUGUUAAUAGCACGUAGCUGUGACGUUACCUUUAGAAGAAGCACCGGCUAACUACCGUGCCAGCACG